UACAGAGGUCUCAAGCGUUGUUCGGAUUCACUGGGCGUAAAGGGUGCGUAGGUGGUGAGGUAAGUCGGAUGUGAAAUCUCUAGGCUCAACCUGGAAAUGGCAUCGGAAACUACCUUGCUCGAGGUUUGGAGGGGGGACUGGAAUACUUGGUGUAGCAGUGAAAUGCGUAGAUAUCAAGUGGAACACCAGUGGCGAAGGCGAGUCCCUGGACAAAACCUGACACUGAGGCACGAAAGCUAGGGGAGCAAACAGG
rnacentral:rRNA from 1 species